GAUGAACGCUGGCGGCGUGCUUAACACAUGCAAGUCGAACGGACUUAUAUUGAAACCUAGUGAUAUAUAAGUUAGUGGCGGACGGGUGAGUAACGCGUGGAGAACCUGCCCUGCACAGGGGGAUAACACUUAGAAAUAGGUGCUAAGACCGCAUAAGCGCACGGGACCGCAUGGUACAGUGUGAAAAAUGGAAACAUGGUGCAGGAUGGCUCCGCGUCUGAUUAGCUGGUUGGCGGGGUAACGGCCCACCAAGGCGACGAUCAGUAGCCGGCCUGAGAGGGUGACCGGCCACAUUGGGACUGAGACACGGCCCAA
rnacentral:rRNA from 1 species